rnacentral:rRNA from 2 species
GAAACGACUGCUAAGACUGGAUAGGAGACAAGAGGGCAUCUUCUUGUUUUUAAAAGACCUAGCAAUAGGUAUGCUUAGGGAGGAGCUUGCGUCACAUUAGUUAGUUGGUGGGGUAAAGGCCUAACAAGACUAUGAUGUGUAGCCGGGCUGAGAGGUUGAACGGCCACAUUGGGACUGAGACACGGCCCAAACUCCUACGGGAGGCAGCAGUAGGGAAUUUUCGGCAAUGGAGGAAACUCUGACCGAGCAACGCCGCGUGAACGAUGAAGUAUUUCGGUACGUAAAGUUCUUUUAUUAGGGAAGAAUAAAUGAUGGAAAAAUCAUUCUGACGGUACCUAAUGAAUAAGCCCCGGCUAACUAUGUGCCAGCAGCCGCGGUAAUACAUAGGGGGCAAGCGUUAUCCGGAAUUAUUGGGCGUAAAGGGUGCGUAGGCGGUUAAAUAAGUUUAUGGUCUAAGUGCAAUGCUCAACAUUGUGAUGCUAUAAAAACUGUUUAGCUAGAGUAAGAUAGAGGCAAGUGGAAUUCCAUGUGUAGUGGUAAAAUGCGUAAAUAUAUGGAGGAACACCAGUAGCGAAGGCGGCUUGCUGGGUCUUUACUGACGCUGAGGCACGAAAGCGUGGGGAGCAAACAGGAUUAGAUACCCUGGUAGUCCACGCCGUAAACGAUGAGUACUAAACGUUGGGUAAAACCAGUGUUGAAGUUAACACAUUAAGUACUCCGCCUGAGUAGUACGUACGCAAGUAUGAAACUUAAAGGAAUUGACGGGACUCCGCACAAGCGGUGGAUCAUGUUGUUUAAUUCGAAGGUACCCGAAAAACCUCACCAGGUCUUGACAUGCUUCUGCAAAGCUGUAGAAACACAGUGGAGGUUAUCAGUUGCACAGGUGGUGCAUGGUUGUCGUCAGCUCGUGUCGUGAGAUGUUGGGUUAAGUCCCGCAACGAGCGCAACCCUUAUUGUUAGUUACCAGCACGUAAUGGUGGGGACUUUAGCAAGACUGCCAGUGAUAAAUUGGAGGAAGGUGGGGACGACGUCAAAUCAUCAUGCCCCUUAUGACCUGGGCUACAAACGUGAUACAAUGGCUGUUACAAAGGGUAGCUGAAGCGCAAGUUUUUGGCGAAUCUCAAAAAAACAGUCUCAGUUCGGAUUGAAGUCUGCAACUCGACUUCAUGAAGUUGGAAUCGCUAGUAAUCGCGAAUCAGCAUGUCGCGGUGAAUACGUUCUCGGGGUUUGUACACACCGCCCGUCA